AACAGGAGAGAGGAGAUGGUUAUAUCUCGACUUAGAUUCAGACACAUUGGUUUGAAUAGCACAUUAUUUUGCAGUAAGGAACAGGAGACAACACAUUUUAUUGCAUUGUCAGAAGUAUGAUAUUGAAAGAAGACAACUGAUCAAAAAGGCUGGACGAUAUGACAGUGAAACUGGACUUGAGUGAUUUAUUUCGUACAAACUACAUAAGUGAAAAUUGGUGGCUGUAAUGCACCAUUUUGCUGUGAAGAAGAAGGAGGAGGAGAAAAAGACGACGACAUCAUUUUGCAUUCCUUUCUCAUCCAAGGUGGCCCAGAGCGUGAAGCGGCUAAGCACUGCAGAGCGAUUUGAUGUCUUCAGGAAAACUGCUCAUUUUACUAUUGCAAAUGUUUAUGGACUGCCUUUGACUGGUCUUUUACUCUGAAUUGGUUGAUAUGUUUAUAAAGAACUCUACUGUAGGGUGUAUUUGUUUCAUUUGUCUUUUAGGGAUUUUUUUAAAUAUUUGGUUGUUUUGUUGCUUUAGUGGAGGUGCGGCCGCUUGUUGGAAAAAAUGGCGCAUGGCUGAACUUUUAAAAUCCCAGCCUGCUUCAAAAUGGCCACCAUCGUCCCUGUACCCAAA